rnacentral:rRNA from 1 species
AAUAUUCCCGUACUUCUGACUAUUGCGAUGGGGGGACGGAGAAGGCUAGGUGGGCCAGGCGACGGUUGUCCUGGUUCAAGUGCGUAGGCUUGAGAGUUAGGUAAAUCCGGCUCUCUCUAAGGCUGAGACACGACGUCGAGCUACUACGGUAGUGAAGUCAUUGAUGCCAUGCUUCCAGGAAAAGCCUCUAAGCUUCAGAUAGUCAGGAAUCGUACCCCAAACCGACACAGGUGGUCGGGUAGAGAAUACCAAGGCGCUUGAGAGAACUCGGGUGAAGGAACUAGGCAAAAUGGUACCGUAACUUCGGGAGAAGGUACGC